rnacentral:rRNA from 1 species
AACGAACGCUGGCGGCAUGCCUAACACAUGCAAGUCGAACGAGACCUUCGGGUCUAGUGGCGCACGGGUGCGUAACGCGUGGGAACCUGCCCUUAGGUUCGGAAUAACUCCCCGAAAGGGGUGCUAAUACCGGAUAAUGUCUUCGGACCAAAGAUUUAUCGCCUUUGGAUGGGCCCGCGUUGGAUUAGCUAGUUGGUAGGGUAAAAGCCUACCAAGGCGACGAUCCAUAGCUGGUCUGAGAGGAUGAUCAGCGACACUGGGACUGAGACACGGCCCAGACUCCUACGGGAAGCAGCAGUGGGGAAUAUUGGACAAUGGGCGAAAGCCUGAUCCAGCAAUGCCGCGUGAGUGAUGAAGGCCUUAGGGUUGUAAAGCUCUUUUACCCGGGAUGAUAAUGACAGUACCGGGAGAAUAAGCUCCGGCUAACUCCGUG